UACGUAGGGUGCAAGCGUUGUCCGGAAUUAUUGGGCGUAAAGAGCUCGUAGGCGGUCUGUUGCGUCGGCUGUGAAAACCCGGGGCUCAACUCCGGGCCUGCAGCCGAUACGGGCAGACUAGAGUUCGGCAGGGGAGACUGGAAUUCCUGGUGUAGCGGUGAAAUGCGCAGAUAUCAGGAGGAACACCGGUGGCGAAGGCGGGUCUCUGGGCUGAAACUGACGCUCAUGCACGAAAGCGUGGGGAGCAAACAGG
rnacentral:rRNA from 1 species